CUGAGCCAGUACAGAUGCAAUACCGCCUCCACCUGUCUCACCAAUGGCAGAGUCAAGACACUGGCUAGGACCAGAAUUCCAGUCUAAUCACCAAUGAUGGACCGGCACCUGCCUUUUCCUCUGCAUUUGGCCUCAUCAGUUAUCAACCACAUUAUAUCAACAUCUUGAGGGUUGGCAGAAUCCUCCUCAGGCUGGAACCAUACCUUUGCAGCCCCCCG